rnacentral:lncRNA from 1 species
CCAGUGCUCUUAGCCGUUGACCCAUCUCAACAGCCCCUUAAUUGUGCUUUCAAGGUCUUUAUACUGUUUUUGAAUUAUUAGGUUAGACAGCCAGCCUUGUGCUCAUAAUCCAGAAUAAAGGUAUGGUGUUAAUUUGCAAUUCUCAGCUCUGUGAACUAGAACGUGGCGUAGUGAACUUUCACAGACCAAGAACUAUACACACAGAAUUCACAUCUCAGGAAGUGAUAGGCUGUAGCUGAUUAUCCAGACCUUCAAAGAAUCACAUUCAAAUUUAGGAUAAAUUUUACAAACUUCUGGGUAAGAUGAAAUAAUUAUAUUAUUAAAGUUUGAAACCAAAAUACUGAAUCAAGAAGGAAGGAAAUGACAGGUGAGUUCCUUUAUUUCAGAAAUAUUUUAAUAUAAUUGUAGUAUAGUUAUGAAGUCACAUUCAAUACAAUGAAUAUAUUCCAAGUAGUAAUAAAAAUAUUAUACAUCUUAACUCACUAUGCUGAUAUAAUUAAAGCAUUUUGUUCUUACAGGUGACACUAGUAAUCACAUCCAUAUUUGCAUUGCUAGUGAACAGCAUGUAAGUAAUAUAUCAUAAUAGCAGGUCUUCAGUGUUUUUUUAAAAUCUGAGUUAUCAAAAGUGAAUUUUUUUAAAUGUUACAAUUCAUGAGUCUUAGAAAGAAUUAAACAAUUUAAGGCAAGAUUCUGAACUUUAUAUACAACUUUAAUUUGAAAAAAAAAGUACUUAAAAAAGAUACACAUGCUUUAACAACUCAUUCACAUAAACACAGUAAUAAAAAGCAUUGGUGCCAAUUCUCAUUGGAUUCCUCAGAGAAAACAGGUUCUUGGGAUGAGCUAUCAUCUUCAGAUCCUAGAGCACUGGCAAGAACAAAGAAUUCUGGCACAGGACUUGUAUGUAGCAGAAUUAUUUUUUACUUGAAGGUAGUUAUAAAUAUGAUAUAUAUAAAAAUUAGUGUCUUGGCCUGUUUGUUUAGCGUUUUCUUUUCAGAUUUACUUUAAGGUAACUGUUACGAUGCUUUAGAAAGCCAGCUGACUAUAAUUGACUGCAGUUGUAGUGCACAGAGGCUACUCUCUCCUCCCUAUCACUCUAUUUUUGGUAUGGGCUGAAAAUUAGCAUUUACAAAGAAAUAACUUAUAUUAAAAUAUAUGUAUUCUAAUGACCAAAGAAGGCACAAAUUGAGUUAAAUUAAGAGACAAUAUCACCUUUUGAAUUCUUGUUAACUAUACAGUAUUAAUUAUAAUAUAUACUUUUAGAUAUUAAUCAGAUUUCUUGUCACUGAAGUGACAUUACAAUUUAAUUCUGUUUCUGCUAAGAUACACGGUAACAGAUCACAAAAAGGUCCAUGAGUCCAGUCAGUGACCACCUUUUACAAACAGCAUUUUUUAAAGUAGCUAGGUGACUCAUGGAAUGGAAUUAGGUUUCUCUCAAAAGAAAAAAAAAUAUUCUAGUGCUACUCACAUCUGCAGAACUAUUUAAGGAAAUAUUAAUUGUGGAAAAAGCAAACAACGGUGCUUAGAUCUUCAUUUCAAUUAUCAAGUAGACAACACAGUUUAAUAUAAAAAAUUCACAUACUCAUACAUGUUUCCCUACAAAUGGACCAUAGUGUUAGGCACCAAAUAUUUCAAGUUUUGAUUUUUUAAAAAUGUAUUCCAAUGAUAACACUCUUAACUCUUAAUUUAACUCUGUAAGCAUCAUCAUUUCUGUCAAUCACUUUGUACACUUCAUAAAAAUUUUAUUCUGGC